rnacentral:misc_RNA from 1 species
AAGUCGUAACAAGGUUUCCGUAGGUGAACCUGCGGAAGGAUCAUUAGCGAGUAGACCCUGCCCUAGUGGCUUGGUCAGUCCCAUCAUAUACACCUUUAUUCGUGAACUCGUGGUUCAGCUGGAUGAUGAAAGCUUCGGCGACUAGACGUCCAUCGGUUCCGCUCUUAUACCCUUUAUGUGAAGUCAAUGGAAAUUAUGAUAAUCUAAUACAACUUUCAACAACGGAUCUCUUGGCUCUC